rnacentral:rRNA from 1 species
AUUGAACGCUGGCGGCAGGCCUAACACAUGCAAGUCGAGCGGAUGAAUGGGGAGCGCUCUCUGCUGCAGGUGGCGACGGGCGGGUGAGUGAUAAGUACAUAACUAUCUUAUAUGUCUAGGGUCAUUAAGUGGGGCCUCAUACACUAUUGGUCCAUAGGUCGAACGGGUGGGAUCAUGGGAUCUUACGACUUUUGCUGACCCUAUGAGACGUUGUCGGGUUAGCUAGUUGGUGGGGUAAAGGCCUACCAAGGCGACGAUCCGUAGCUGGUCUGAGAGGAUGAUCGGCCACACUGGAACUGAGACACGGUCCAGACUCCUACGGGAGGCAGCAGUGGGGAAUAUUGGACAAUGGGCGAAAGCCUGAUCCAGCAAUGCCGCGUGGGUGAAGAAGGUCUUCGGAUUGUAAAGCACUUUUAUUUGGGAAGAAGAGCAGUAGGUUAAUACCUGGCUGUUUUGACGGUACCCAAAGAAUAAGCACCGGCUAACUUCGUG